GAUGAACGCUGGCGGCGUGCCUAAUACAUGCAAGUCGAGCGAACAGACGAGGAGUUUGCUCCUCUGACGUUAGCGGCGGACGGGUGAGUAACACGUGGAUAACCUACCUAUAAGACUGGGAUAACUUCGGGAAACCGGAGCUAAUACCGGAUAAUAUAUUGAACCGCAUGGUUCAAUAGUGAAAGACGGUUUUGCUGUCACUUAUUGAUGGAUCCGCGCCGCAUUAGCUAGUUGGUAAGGUAACGGCUUACCAAGGCUACGAUGCGUAGCCGACCUGAGAGGGUGAUCGGCCACACUGGAACUGAGACACGGUCCAGACUCCUACGGGAGGCAGCAGUAGGGAAUCUUCCGCAAUGGGCGAAAGCCUGACGGAGCAACGCCGCGUGAGUGAUGAAGGUCUUCGGAUCGUAAAACUCUGUUAUUAGGGAAGAACAAAUGUGUAAGUAACUAUGCACGUCUUGACGGUACCUAAUCAAAAAGCCACGGCUAACUACGUG
rnacentral:rRNA from 1 species